GCUGGGUGCGGUGGCCCACGUCUGUAAUCCCAGUGGCUCGGGAGGCUGAGGCAGGAGGAUCCUGAGUUCAAAGCCAGCCUCAGCAACUGCAAGGUGCUAAGCAACUCAGUGAGAUCCUGUCUCUA
rnacentral:sRNA from 1 species